GGGAUCGNAAGACCUUGCGUUUUUGGGAGCGGGCCGAUGUCUGAUUAGCUAGUUGGUGGGGUAAGGGCCUACCAAGGNCGACGAUCAGUAGUUGGUCUGAGAGGACGACCAGCCACACUGGGACUGAGACACGGCCCAGACUCCUACGGGAGGCAGCAGUGGGGAAUUUUGGACAAUGGGCGAAAGCCUGAUCCAGCAAUGCCGCGUGAGUGAAGAAGGCCUUCGGGUUGUAAAGCCUCUUUCACUCGAGAAGAAAAGGUGCAGUGAAUAACUGUAGUUUAUGACGGUAUCGACAGAANAAGCACCGGCUAACUACGUGCCAGCAGCCGCGGUAAUACGUAGGGUGCGAGCGUUAAUCGGAAUUACUGGGCGUAAAGGGUGCGCAGGCGGUUUUGUAAGUCAGAUGUGAAAUCCCCCGGGCUUAACCUGGGAAUUGCGUUUGAAA
rnacentral:rRNA from 1 species